GAUUAUAUAGUCUAAUUAGGAUUUUAAAUUGCAAAUUUAAAGGUAAAUAUUAUUUUAUAAUCU
rnacentral:tRNA from 1 species